GAAAGAGGCAAGGAAACAGAUUUGCCCUAGAGCCUCUGGAGGGAACGCAGACAUGCUGACCGAGAUUUUAGCCCAGUGAAACCCAUCUCAUAUUUCUGACCUCCAGAAUGGUGUGCAUGCAUUUGCCAAAGAAGUGAUGCUGGAGGUUGGAUGAAUUGCACCUGCAGGAAGCA